GUGAGAUAUUCUGUAGCUUAAGGCUAACUCUGUAACCCGCCCUGCACAAUCAAUGAACCAACAGCAUCGCCUAGGCCUAUAAGUUCUCUCCCAGACUCAUGGAUAUAACAUUUGGAGCGCAGCAUAAGGAAUUUGUGCAUGUGUCCCAGAGGGUGUUGGUAGAUGGGGAGCUGCGGGAGCUUUUGGUGAGGAAUGGGAAGCACUAUGUUGAGGAGCACCACUGCCUGGACCAUGAGAGGGAGGCCUACCAGAGGCUGGUGGACACACUGCACUGAGGCUGAGGCAGCCUACUGUCUCUCAGGAAUAACACCAACGCUGACCUAGACCUUCUCUCCAUCUGGGGCUUAACACAUCGCCGUGUGCUCAUAUAUGAACGCUGCUGCUCCCUAACUACGCAGAGUUACAGCUGGGUUACACUUAAAUCAGAAAGGCCAAAAGAGAGGCAUUGCUUUAAUGAUCAGGUACACAACAUGGCCAAAAGUAGGAGGACACCCCUUCAAAUUAGUACAUUUGGUUAAUUCAGCCACACCCAUUGCUGACAGGUGUAUACAAUUGAACACACAGCCAUGGAAUCUCCAUAGACAAACAUUGGCAGUAAAAUGGCCCGUACUGAAGAGCUCAGUGACUUUCAAUGUGGCACUUUCAUAGGAUGCCACCUUUCCAACAAGGCAGUUCGUGAAAUUUCUGCCCUGCUAGAGCUGCCCUGGUCAGUGCUGUUAAGUUGAAAGGUCUAGGAGCUACAACAGCUCAGCCGAAAAGUAGUAGGCCACACAAGCUCACAGAACGGGACCGCCAAGUGCUGAAGCGCGUAGGGCGCAACACUCACUACUGAGUUCCAAACUGUCUCUGGAAGCAACGUCAGCACAAGAACUGUUCGUCGGGAGCUUCAUGAAAUGGGUUUCCAUGUCCGAGCAGCCGCACAUAAGCCUAAGAUCACCAUGUGCAAUGCCAUGCGUCCAAUGGGGCGGUGUAAAGCUUGACUCUGGAGCAGUGGAAACGCAUUCUCUGGAGUGAUGAAUCACACUUCACCAUCUGGCAGUCUGAACGAUCAAUCUGGGUUUGGCGGAUGCCAGGAGAACGCUACCUGCCCGAAUGCAUAGUGCCAACUAUAAAGUUUGGUUGAUUAGGAAUAAGGGUCUAGGGCAGUUCUCCGUGGUUCAGGCUAGGCCCCUUAGUUCCAGUGAAGAGAAAUGUUAACACUACAGCAUACUAUGGCAUUCUAGACGAUUCUGGGCUUCCAACUUUGUGGCAACAGUUUGGGGAAGGCCUUUUCCUGUUUCAGCAUGACAAUGGCCCCGUGCACAAAGCAAGGUCCAUACAAAAAUGGUUUGUCGAGAUCGGUGUGGAAGAACUUGACUGGCCUGCACAGAGCCCUGACCUCAACCCCAUCGAACAACUUUGGGAUGAAUUGGAAUGCAGAGUGCGAGCCUAAUCACCCAACAUCAUUGCUCGACUACACUAAUGCUCUUGCGGCUGAAUAGAAGCAAGUCCCUGCAGCAAUGUUCCAACAUCUAGUGGAAAGCCUUCCCAGAUGAGUGGAGGUCAUAGCAGGAAAGGGGGUACCAACUCCAUAUUAAUGCCCAUGAUUUUGGAAUGAGAUGUUCGACGAGCAGGUGUCCACAUCACUUUUACAGGUAUUUUCUAGCUCUAGUUGUAUGUGGACCAAUCUACAAUGCACAAUCAAACUUGAUUAGCCAAAUGUACUUUAGGUACUGGAGGUGGAUGUUAACUUUUAUUCAAAGCACAACAGUAGUCUUAUUGAAUUACUGGGUGAAAGAAAUAUGUUCUGUGCUGCUACUCUAUCAUCUUGCUUGAUAUAUUCCAAGUAGACUACAGAAAAACAAUUUUUAACUUAUUUAUUGACAUGUUGUAAUGAAAGUUAAUCUAUGAAAAAUAUGUAUAUUCUGCUUCUUACUGACGUAUCAUGUUCAAUAAAAUAUGGUUAAACGAU
rnacentral:lncRNA from 1 species